rnacentral:rRNA from 1 species
UACAGAGGUCUCAAGCGUUGUUCGGAUUCAUUGGGCGUAAAGGGUGUGUAGGUGGCGCGCUAAGUCGGGUGUGAAAUUUCGGAGCUUAACUCCGAAACUGCAUUCGAUACUGGCGUGCUUGAGGACUGGAGAGGAGACUGGAAUUCAUGGUGUAGCAGUGAAAUGCGUAGAGAUCAUGAGGAAGACCAGUGGCGAAGGCGGGUCUCUGGACAGUUCCUGACACUGAGACACGAAGGCCAGGGGGGCAAACGGG